UACGGAGGGUGCAAGCGUUGUUCGGAAUUACUGGGCGUAAAGCGCGCGUAGGCGGUUUUACAAGUCAGAUGUGAAAGCCCAUGGCUCAACCAUGGACGUGCAUUUGAAACUGUGAGACUUGAGUAUUGGAGGGGGUGGUGGAAUUCCCGGUGUAGAGGUGAAAUUCGUAGAUAUCGGGGGGAAUACCAGUGGCGAAGGCGACCACCUGGCCAAAUACUGACGCUCAUGUGCGAAAGCGUGGGGAGCAAACAGG
rnacentral:rRNA from 1 species